AAAAAAGCCGGGAUAGCU
rnacentral:tRNA from 1 species